UCUAUGGUCUAUUGUUCAGGUGUUCGUAGAAACGUAAAAGGGAACUCCGUGCAAAUCGGAGACGGGCCCGCCGCUGUGACCGGGGACGACCGCUGCACCAUGUCACUGACGACUAUGUCGGGAAGACGCAGCCAAUAGGAAGAACCGGGAGUCAGAAGACCUGCCUGGACGGGAGGAGGAAA
rnacentral:ncRNA from 2 species